AAAGUCGUAACAAGGUUUCCGUAGGUGAACCUGCGGAAGGAUCAUUACAAAUCCACAAGUCACCCUCACCGGUCGACAACGUUGAACCCCAACCCCUCGGCAGAUCUAACGCGAACCGCGGGACAGCCUCCGUAACAGGAGACUGUCCCCGCGGAUCGUGCCCUGGAGAAGCCUCGAGGACCCUAUUUGACCCCCUAGCUGAAACAAAUGACCACGAAUGUACCAACAAUCACAACCUAGAAACAACUUAUAACAAUGGAUCUCUAGGCUCUU
rnacentral:misc_RNA from 1 species